GCUCAGGAAUUCUGGGAGUUGAAGUCCACGAGUCAUAAAAGGGCCAAGUUUGAAGACCCCUGGUCUAGGGUCGCCUGCCUGAGCAGGGGGUUGGACUAGAAGACCUCCAAGGUCCCUUCCAGCGCUUGUGAUUCUGGAUGGCUUGCACCAUUCCUGGUUUUUUCCCACCCUCGAGGAACUGUUCCUCUCCCAAGCCUGCAUUUGCACCAAUCCAGGUGAUCUCACGGGAAAGCGAUCUGGAAAAUUCCUUUUCUCUCCGGCUAAGUUAUUCCCACUCCUGCCUGGCUUUGCUUUCCCAAGAGGAAACUGGCAUAGUUGGUGUUGUCGUUUAUUUUCCAUUUUCUUUUCGGUAGCAUUUUGCAAAACAGGCUAAAUUCUAACCAAGGAGAAUCUUUGGAGCUCAGGGUUGACAUGUAGGGUCCUUGGUACACUCCAAGGUUGGUUGCUAUCUCUUGGCAGUACAGGCAGUCCUUGACUUACAGCCACAAUUAAGGGUCAUUAAAUAACCUGUUGUUCAGUCGAGGGCUGCCUGCACUGAUCGCGUUACCUAAUUUGUCAUGAAACGUCUGCGAGCUCAGAGAGCAGCCCACCCAGGCUAAACUCUCACAUCAGUAUCAUUGUUCAAGAGCAGUGAUUUUCAUGGCUUUGUGUCUCCUGUGAUCCCGUGGUCGUGCGCACCAACGUGGGGUCCACGGCUAGAGAUGGGAAGGCCUGGGGGGAAAAAAAACCCCGGAAAAAUAGGGGGGAAAAAAUAAGUUUUUUUUCCCCAUACGGCUUUGGGGAAAAAAAAUCUGGUCACCCUCACCCCCAAUUUUCCUGAUUUUUUUCCCCCACAGGCCUUCCCAUCUCUAGACAGCAUCCGUCGAAGUCUAGACACAUGCAUUUCUGCAAAAUGUAUGUUUGUUUGUUCCUGUCUUUGUGGAUCUUCCCCCCUUUUGGACCCACCCACCCUCUUUAUUUAGGACAGCCUCACUCUUCCCCCGAGCAGGGGGGGUCGGACUGGAUGACCUCCAAGGUCCCUUCCAGCUCCAUUAUUCUCCACUUUAUGGCCGAACAGCAGGUUCCCCCUGGAAAUGAUAAGGGGCUGUUGGUGGAAACCAGGUGCCAUCCCAAUGUCAACACGGGGGUCAGUUUCAGCAAGGAUUUUGGAUGUGGGGGGGGGAAAACCAAACCAGGCUGUCACACCUCCUAAACUAAUUCCCAAAGACCCCCCCCCGUUUAAGAAAAGCUAAGGGGGACCCCUCCAUUUUAAACCGUUAACGGGACCCACCCCCCCGCCGCCCCCAGCACUUCCAAUCCUCUCUUUCUCUUUCUCUCUCUCUCUUUUCCAUUUAAAUUAAGAACAUAAAAGAAAACAAGCAAAAAAAAAACCAUUAUUAUUUUUUUUU